AUUAGAUAAAUUUCAAAUAGUUACAAACAAAAAGUUAAUGUUAAAUCUUUUUUGUACCACUGUUGUUCCAAAUCUUAGAAAAAAAAAGUUUAUUCAGUUGGUAUAAGGACAGACAUGCAAUUUGAAGACAACAUAUAUGUGUAAUUAAAAUGACGACGAAAAUAAGUUGUUUUGAAAACGAGUGCGUAGUGUUCCAGUUAUGACCUAGUUCUUGUGGUGGUCAAGUUUCAUUGCAUUAUAGACUGCUUUUAUGUGUAUCAAAAUUUAUUCAUUGGCUACCAUUGUGAAUAACUUGCAACGGACAAGUUCAUCUGAAACCUUUUUAUUAGAUAUUAAAACUAAUCAUUGACUUAUUGUGUCGCAGUUUUCCCAAUUGUAGAUAGUAAAGUUAAAGUCGUUCCUAGCAAACAAUCGUGCAUUCUGUUGGUUAAUUUGAUCUGCAUAGUAUCAGUGAGUAGUUGAGGGAUAUAACAAUAUAAACAUUCGCGAUAUUCUAAUCUGCAUCUGUUUCUCAUGCUGAAAUAUCGAUAUAUCGUUUUGCAUCACCUGCUAUUUGUGACCAACGUGUAUUUGUUCCUGCUGUCCAACAAUUCGCUCGUUCAAAGGCAACAAACGGAGGAUAGCGAAUCGCUACCGGAACCAACGCAAAUUCUGCUGAUCGAUCGUGUCAAUUGUGCUUUACAACGAAUCGCUAUACUCCGGGCUGAUCGUGAUCCGGCACAAGAUGCUAUACCGGAUCUACGCUUGCACGGGAAAUUGUAACAUACCGAAACCGAAUGAGGGGGAAGAUGCAUCAAACGGUGCGGUAUCGUCCCCCCUGGGCUACCGACCAACGUGUAAUUGUUCCUGCUGUCUGAAAAGUCGACCGGACUCGCUCGAUCAAGUACCAAACGGGAUACUGAGUCGCUACCGGAAGCGACACCAAUUCCGCUGAAAUCUAUCGUUUUUGUGUUACCACGAACCGCUAUACUCCGCGCUGAUCGUGCUCCGGAACGAAAUGCUACACCGGUUCUACGCUUGCAUGGGAAUUUUAAUCGUACCGAAACGGUGCCAUUAGGAGCCUUGAGGACAACCAUAACAACUGGGUGACUAAACAGAACAGCGGGACAUUAUGAUUUAGAGCAACACACCACCGUUCUAUGAAUCGUUGGGGUUUGCACCAUGCGAUGUAGAAUAAUAUAGUCAAUGAGACAAAAUAACUAAUCGAAUGAUUCACUGCGUAUAGUUUUUCUCAUGUUCCCAAUCUUCUAUUGGCAGACAGCCGCUUUAAAUAAUCGGUGCAACGUCGUAACAUUAUUUAGUGGAUUCUUGGUGGAAAUGUGGUGCUUCCUGCCGAUGUUGGUGACUCGAAGGCAAACUGAAUAAAAGGGCUCCAGAUUGAAACAGUUAAACAUAUAGGGUAGAUGAUUUAAUUUUUCUCAAACUAUUAGGGUGCUACACUAUGUUCCGAUGAAUAUACUGGAAGAGGUAGAGAUUUUGUGCGAAGUAGGGAUACCAAUUUUUUAUCCCAUAAUUUGAACAGCAGACGAUGUGUUCGGUUAGGUACAAUAAAUAGAUAGGCUACGAUGAUAUAAAGAGAUGUAACCCUCUCAGUGGGAGGCACGAUUCUCGAGAGUCUAAGAUAGAAUAUUUAUGCAAUUUCACCCGAUCGAAGUGAAUUAUAACUCUUACAGAAACAUGGACAAAUGUAUUGCGAAUGAAUAAAUUAUGUUUCUAAAGUAAA